AUCGACCAGGAGAAAGAGCAGAGGGGUGUAAACCCUAGCUCUCAAGAACAACAACACAAAUUCAGCCCAAUCAAAGACAAAAUCGAAUGGAAAGCAUUGCAGGGAUGAAUAUUUCUCACUAUCUAAUCCUAACAAACAUAUGGUAUCGCAUGAGCAUGGAAGGCAAAUGGGUCAAGAUGAGGCAAGGAAGCGGUUACGAACACGGAUGCACAAGGACCUUAGGUACAUAUGGAGCUUGCACAGGGAGGA